GAAAGUAAAAGUCUUAACAAGGUCUCCGUUGGUGAACCAGCGGAGGGAUCAUUACCGAGUUUACAACUCCCAAACCCAAUGUGAACAUACCUUCAGUUGCUUCGGCGGACUCGCCCCAGCGUCCGGACGGCCCUGUGCCGUCCGCGGCCUGGAGCCAGGCGGCCGCCGGAGGCCACAAACUCUCUCUGUAUUGUCCAGUCUCUUCUGAAUCCGCCGCAAGGCACUAUAAAUGAAUCAAAACUUUCAACAACGGAUCUCUUGGUUCUG
rnacentral:misc_RNA from 1 species